AUCACGUCGCCCACGUCACACAUCCUUUCUUGGAUCGUGUAUUACGUGGGCGGAUACUGGUCUCCCGUGCCCAUGGUGUGGUUGGCCCAAACACGAGUCCGCUAAAGAAAGAGGCACGACUGGUGGUGGUUUGAUUUCACAGUCGUCUUGGUCGUGUGCUCUGACUCUUAAAGCGAAAUGACUUAAAAUUGCCAUGAUGUGUUGUUUCUUGUGACGGCCUUUCGA
rnacentral:rRNA from 1 species